UUUUCCUAGAUACCAAAUCAGGUUCUUCUUGGGGUUGUUAGGAUUUUUCGGAAUCUUCUUUUUGUAGGAUUUUUGCAUGGGUCUUGUUUGAGUGAAGUUUCUGUUUUGGCCAUUUAAUUGCUUAUCGUGGUGUUGUGUUUGUCAUUUAAUAUCCUGGAAAAUCUCUCCUUUAUGAUGAGACGGACUCGAUUCUUUUUGCCCUUAGCUUUGGGCUCAUGUUCUAUGGUUGGUUCUUUUCUCUCAUUAAGAUCUAUUUCGUUUUGGAGUUUGUGGUUCGCUUUUUUGCCAUCUUAAGCGGUAUCUCUUCCAGUUUGAGGUUAUCGACUUCUCGGGUUGGUUUGACAUGUUUAAUACUAUCGACUACAAAAAGAUAGGCUAUUUCCAAUGGACGAAAUCGUCGGAAUAACGAUGGAAACAGCCGUAUUCGACGAAUUUUCGACGACAUAGAUUGGUCGAUUCUAUCUCGUCGGAAAUCUGAAUGUCGUCGCAAACGUGUUACAAAUUACCGACGGGUUUCCGACGAGAACGUUGUUGAAAAUCGGUCGGUAUAUUCUUCCGACGGUUUACCGACAACGUUAUUCCCGAUGGAUUCCGACGAAGUAUUUCCGACAGGCUCUUUAAAGAUCUCAGAAUCCCAUGAUGGGCCGGCAUAAAAAUAUGUGGUGCUUUGGUUUAGGCUACCUAACCCUACCACACGACCCCAGUUUGACGGAAUUUCCUGCAUAUAACAACUGUUAGUAAAUUUUUAAAAAUUAUACAAAAAAUUAAUAUUAUGAAAUAAACCUUACCUCAAGAACAAUGCGGUUGAUUUUUUCUCGGGCCUGGACGUUAGAUGGUGAGGAACCAUCAUCAUUUUGGGGAAGCUGUGUGAGGAACUCCGUCAUCUUUCUCUUCAAUGUCUCGACGAGACCCGCGAUGUAACCGUCUU